rnacentral:sRNA from 2 species
CUCGACCGGACGCCGAGUCCUGCCACCGGUCGGGGAGACGGAACCCAUGGCAGGAGCGGGGGACCCAAUUCUGGGCAUCGGAGACGGUGUCCUCGGGGUGAAGCCGGUCAGGGCGCGAGCCCUGGACGGCCGGGUGAUUUCUCCCACCCGAACCCGACAGCUGACCUCGUAGGCGACGGGAGAGGAAAA